UACGGGGGGAGCAAGCGUUGUUCGGAUUUACUGGGCGUAAAGGGCGCGUAGGCGGCCACCUCAAUUCAGUUGUGAAAUCUCUGGGCUUAACCCAGAAAGGUCAACUGAUACUGCGGGGCUAGAGUGCAGAAGGGGCAACUGGAAUUCUCGGUGUAGCGGUGAAAUGCGUAGAUAUUGGGAGGAACACCCGUGGCGAAGGCGGCCAGCUGGACCGGUCCUGACGCUGAGGCGCGAAAGCGUGGGGAGCAAACAGG
rnacentral:rRNA from 1 species